AAGUCGUAACAAGGUUUCCGUAGGUGAACCUGCGGAAGGAUCAUUACCAUAUCCAAAAACUUUACCAACCCACCGUGUGAACUGUUGUUUUUUCCUACACUUGGGGCGGACGUGGUGCUAAACAGCCACCCAGCCCCACCUGUAAGAAAAAUUUUCCAUCAACCCCUGGUCAAACCAACCUUUGUAGCUCUGAUCUUUUUUUCUUUCGCGCCUCUCUUGGUAACGAGAGAGGCGUGAAAAAAAAAACCAAACCACAAACCAAUAGACAACUUAUGACGGUGGAUCUCUUGGCUCGU
rnacentral:misc_RNA from 1 species